CUCCCCUCUGACAGGUACCACGAGCCCCAGCCGAGCCCGCACCUCUGUCCGACCCCGUCUCCGCCACCAGGCUCCUCUGUAGCGCCCUGCUGUUUCCUUCUAUCGCCACACUCUGGGGCAAGCUGAUGUUCAGUACUGUGGACUCCAACCUACAGAGAACCAUCUUGGGUGGGAUUGCUUUUGUGGUCAUAAAAGGAGUUCUGCGUAUCUACUACAAACAGCAGCAGUACCUGCGCCAGGCCCAGAGGAAGAUUCAGGACUUUGUCCCAGAAGAUGAGCCAACCCCAGCACAGCAGGCUCAGUAGAAAUAGUUUUAACACUGGCCCACAAAAGAAGCAUCUAUCACAGAACUAAGGCCACAGCAAGUAGAUUUUAUGGAUGACAUCAGAGCGGUCAUUUAAUUUUUGCCUGAGUU